rnacentral:rRNA from 1 species
AUGUCGACUUGGAGGUUGUUCCCUUGAGGAGUGGCUUCCGGAGCUAACGCGUUAAGUCGACCGCCUGGGGAGUACGGCCGCAAGGUUAAAACUCAAAUGAAUUGACGGGGGCCCGCACAAGCGGUGGAGCAUGUGGUUUAAUUCGAUGCAACGCGAAGAACCUUACCUACUCUUGACAUCCAGAGAACUUAGCAGAGAUGCUUUGGUGCCUUCGGGAACUCUGAGACAGGUGCUGCAUGGCUGUCGUCAGCUCGUGUUGUGAAAUGUUGGGUUAAGUCCCGCAACGAGCGCAACCCUUAUCCUUUGUUGCCAGCGAUUCGGUCGGGAACUCAAAGGAGACUGCCAGUGAUAAACUGGAGGAAGGUGGGGAUGACGUCAAGUCAUCAUGGCCCUUACGAGUAGGGCUACACACGUGCUACAAUGGCAUAUACAAAGAGAAGCGACCUCGCGAGAGCAAGCGGACCUCAUAAAGUAUGUCGUAGUCCGGAUUGGAGUCUGCAACUCGACUCCAUGAAGUCGGAAUCGCUAGUAAUCGUAGAUCAGAAUGCUACGGUGAAUACGUUCCCGGGCCUUGUACACACCGCCCGUCACACCAUGGGAGUGGGUUGCAAAAGAAGUAGGUAGCUUAACCUUCGGGAGGGCGCUUUACCA